UGUGGUUAAUAACUUUGUGGCAGUACGGAAACAGGUGGCGUUCAGCGACGUGUCUCUGGACUUCUCUCAGGAGGAGUGGGCGUGCCUGGGCCCUGCGCAGAGGGCCCUGUACAAAGAUGUGAUGCUGGAGAACUACAGCCACCUGCUCUCAGUGGGUAAGGGCUCCUGGACCAACAGCGCAGCCGCCUCGGGAGCGCCUGCUGCUUCCUCAAGGAACUGCUCAGCUGCCUUUCAAGUUUGCCACCUGAAUUCCUGCUCCUUGGUUGCAAAUCAGUGGUAUCAGCUGGGCUGGAAAAGAAGCCUGGGAAACAGGUUCAGUUCCGUCCAGUGGGCGUGGCUGACGCUUCUUCCUCGUCCUUGGCUGUUCCUGUCUUGGCAUCUCUUGCUUGGUGAUCGA
rnacentral:lncRNA from 1 species